rnacentral:tRNA from 1 species
GCCGGGAUGGCGGAAUCGGUAGACGCAGCGGAUUCAAAAUCCGCCGCUGGAAACAGUGUGGGGUUCGAGUCCCCCUCCCGGCACCA